rnacentral:rRNA from 1 species
CAGUAGCCGCGGGAAUACGUAGGGUGCGAGCGUUAAUCGGAAUUACUGGGCGUAAAGCGUGCGCAGGCGGUUGUGUAAGACAGGUGUGAAAUCCCCGGGCUUAACCUGGGAACUGCGCUUGUGACUGCACAGCUAGAGUAUGGCAGAGGGGGGUGGAAUUCCACGUGUAGCAGUGGAAUGCGUAGAGAUGUGGAGGAACACCGAUGGCGAAGGCAGCCCCCUGGGCCAAUACUGACGCUCAUGCACGAAAGCGUGGGGAGCAAACAGGAUUAGAUACCCCUGUAGUCCCUGUCUCUUAUAC